AUAAACAUCUCAUGCAGCACCUGUUUUAUUUUAUAGGCUCUAUAAUCACAGUGACAUUCUGAAAGAAGACCUUGAAGCCUGUGGAACAGCUGUCCUUCACCAGCCUCCGAGACUCUUACCUGGAGGUGGCAGCCAUGAAAAGCAAGUCAGAUCUGAACAAGCGUCAGCCUCAGGCUUGUUGAGGGCACAGUUGGGUCAGCACAUGGCCACCUUGAAAGAACGUGAUAAUUCUAUCACAGAAGAGGUAGCUAAGAAGUCUGAAGUUUUCCUAGUCAAAAACGUGGACCAGAGGACAGGGGCAGCAGCGUUAUUGAAAAAAGCCCCUACAGAAGAGUGUGACGAUAGUUCGGCCGUUC